rnacentral:rRNA from 1 species
GAGUUUGAUCCUGGCUCAGAGCGAACGCUGGCGGCAGGCUUAACACAUGCAAGUCGAGCGGGCACUUCGGUGUCAGCGGCAGACGGGUGAGUAACGCGUGGGAACAUACCUUUUGGUUCGGAACAACACAGGGAAACUUGUGCUAAUACCGGAUAAGCCCUUACGGGGAAAGAUUUAUCGCCGAAAGAUUGGCCCGCGUCUGAUUAGCUUGUUGGUGAGGUAACGGCUCACCAAGGCGACGAUCAGUAGCUGGUCUGAGAGGAUGAUCAGCCACAUUGGGACUGAGACACGGCCCAAACUCCUACGGGAGGCAGCAGUGGGGAAUAUUGGACAAUGGGCGCAAGCCUGAUCCAGCCAUGCCGCGUGAGUGAUGAAGGCCCUAGGGUU